AUAGGAAUGUAAGCUGUCAAGGA
rnacentral:piRNA from 1 species